AUUGAACGCUGGCGGCAGGCCUAACACAUGCAAGUCGAGCGAGCGGCGGACGGGUGAGUAAUGUCUGGGAAACUGCCUGAUGGAGGGGGAUAACUACUGGAAACGGUAGCUAAUACCGCAUACCAUCAGAUGUGCCCAGAUGGGAUUAGCUAGUAGGUGGGGUAACGGCCCACCUAGGCGACGAUCCCUAGCUGGUCUGAGAGGAUGACCAGCCACACUGGAACUGAGACACGGUCAAGACUCCUACGGGAGGCAGCAGUGGGGAAUAUUGCACAAUGGGCGAAAGCCAGAUGCAGCCAGGACGCGUGUGUGAAGAAGGCCGUCGGAUUGUAAAGCACUAUCAGCGGGGAGGCGUUACCAGCAGAAGAAGCACCGGCUAACUCCGUGCCAGCAGCCGCGGUAAUUC
rnacentral:rRNA from 1 species